UGUUCUGCUGCUGUUUUCUCCAUAAUCUGUGUUUGCAACAACAUCUGCCACAUGAUGAUGAAGAAAACAGUCAGCAAGCAGAGGAGUUAGAAACAUCUGGUGACAGUGUGAGUACAGAUGUAGGGAGGCAGGUAAGGCAAGAAGUUAUUCAGCGAUAUUUUACCCACAGCUGAGGUGAUCGUGGCUCAUCACUUUGAGGACUUGCCAAAAUUUCCAGAGGUGGCUGGGGCAACACUGCGGAGAUGCGCCGCCUGGGUGGUGAAGAUGGAGCCGCAGACUCAGACUCCACACGACGUGUCUUACUGGGCCUCCUAGGCAAACUCACAGAGCCCUGUGAUGGCCGCCUUAGAGGAGGGCGGCUUGCAGAAGAAGAACCUAUGUGAAAAGAAAAACAUUAUUAUUUUUUUGCUUCUAUGUGUUUGCCGAAUAUGUGAAUACAGUGAAUUCUUACCUGCAUUCCCACCAUCUUCAUCAGUUGGCUGUGGCCUGUCUGUGGUGCUUCUCUGGCGUACUGUUGAUACAGUUGAAAAACAUUAUGACCAUACUUUAAAUACUCCUUGUUAUCUGAACUUCCUUAUUGUGAUGUAAACAUCUGGAACCUAAUGUUAAGUAAACUAUUUUUUGUUUAA